rnacentral:lncRNA from 1 species
UCUUCUUCUUUCUAAUUCUUCAACUUCCUUCCCACACUCCAUCACUCCAUGUACAAAACUUUACAUAUAGCUACGGCAACUCAACCUCCAGAGCCCGGAGAAGUACCCUGGGUCAUAAGCUUUGGCGACGACCUGAACCCGUAGUUACGCGCUCAAAUCCCAGAACCAGACACCAAGCUCCGAUCACACCAACUCCGUCCAGAUCCAGAUCCAAACCGCUUCAAAAUAGAAGCUGGAGUAGACUGAAUCCCGAAGCUGGUACUACUACUUACUACUACUACUACUAGCUACUGCUCCUGCUGCGAGCGAAACAGUUCAGUUUCAUGAUCAUCAGCUUUAUUUUUUGUGGACGGCAAGACAAGAGGGGCAAAACGAAGAUCAAGAGGAGAAAAGGACAGAAGACGAAGAAGACGAAGCAGCGGUUUUUUUGUUACUUUUUAAAAUAAUUUCUAUUUUUUUUAAUGUAAAUUAAAAUAUUAAUAUAUUUUAUGACGUGGAGCUUAUGAAUGACACAUAGACUGUCAUAUCAAAGGAGUUAAGUUUGACUGUUAAUUUAACGGUUAGAUUUGAAAAUCAUGCUAUUUUUUGUAUUUUGAAAAUUAUGUGUCAAAUUGAAUUCGAGGCUAUACGUUGUAUCUUAUUUGAUAAUUUUUUUUUAUAAAACAUACAUAUAGGAUAAGAUUCUUUAUCCACAAGAUCAAUGAUUCUCAACCCUAAUCAGG